UGAGAUGUAAUUUAUUUGAAUUCUCUUAUUUAUCUUUUUUCAGAGACAACAGAAUUCUCAUCAGAUACUGAGAAGCAAUAUUAGGAAUCAGAAAGACAUCAUGAAGAUAAAGAAAAUUAUUCAGUGACCCUUCUAGAUAUUCAUAAGAACUGAUAUAAUGUACAAUCAUUUUAGGUCUUUAGAAGAUAUUACAAGACUACAGUAUACUUCUGUACUAUGUAUAGUAUACUACUAUAUGUAAUAAACAAGAAAUAUUUGAAUAAAUGAUGUCAGAAA